GGCGCUAUAGCCAAGUGGUUACGGCGACAGAUUAGAAUCCAUUUGUCAUGCUGGUUUCUGUCAUCUGUUCCUCUUUGAGGGCGCAGGUUCAAAUCCUGCUGGCGUCG